rnacentral:rRNA from 1 species
UACAGAGGUCCCAAGCGUUGUUCGGAUUCAUUGGGCGUAAAGGGUGCGUAGGCGGCGCGGUAAGUCGGGUGUGAAAUCUCGGGGCUUAACUCCGAAACUGCAUUCGAUACUGCCGUGCUUGAGGACUGGAGAGGAGACUGGAAUUUACGGUGUAGCGGUGAAAUGCGUAGAUAUCGUAAGGAAGACCAGUGGCGAAGGCGGGUCUCUGGACAGUUCCUGACGCUGAGGCACGAGGGCCAGGGGAGCAAACGGG